CCUCAUAAAUUACUUUAUUAAGUUGUGAGUUUUUCUUUUUAUAGUUCAAAUUGAACAUGAAGCUUAACUCUAAUAUUCUUUUAUUGUUUUCUUUUUCUUUGAUGAUUUCUUUUAUUAAUGUAUUCUGUUAGUAUGAUUGUUGUUACUACCAAUUUUCUAGAAGAAGAGGUGAAGUUGGAAGAUGUUCUUAUAUGGUGACUUUUUGCGUGAAAAAUAUUUUAAUUCCAUGGAGAAAAUAUUUUAAUUCUUUUAGUGGAAUCUCAAAACUUCAUAUCAAAACAUUCAUCUCAAAAGCAUCAUUUUUUGUUUAGGUGAUAAUGGCUUUGUACACAUAUAUUAAUAAAAUAUAGAAUCUUAUGUCAAAUAUCAAUACAACUGGCAACUGAGUAUGGUCUCAUGGAACUACUUAUUCACAUGAGUCUUUGUGGCUACCAUUCGUUGAUUCUUAUCCUAUAUGUACAUUUUGCACAAUUUAAGUAUUCCAAGUGUACUGUGUUUCUGCUUUCUUAGGUAUUUGAAUCUUUUUCAGUGUAGAUUAGUUAUUUAUAGACAUGUUUUAAUUUGUUGUUUUUAGGUGGAACUUGGAAGAGUUGCAAUUAUGAUCACGAUUGACGGCUUAUCCUAAACUAAUUUUUUGUAAAAGCUUUUUCUCUGUCUAUUAUAGUUAAUUUCUUAACAUAUCUUGAUCAGUUUGUAUUUUUUUAUUGACUGCAACUGAUUGUAGGGCACAAAACUUCCUAAUGUCAGUUUGAAGAGUGCAAAACUACAAUAUAAAAGCUUAUUUGCUAUAUAUAUGAAUCUUUAGGGAUACUAUAAAUCAAACAGGUUGAAGUCUAAGAUUGUUAACUUUUUACUUUUGUCAAAAGCUAUAUCUUUCUGCUAUGACUUGCACAUAGAAGAAAGAUAUAGCUUCUUGAACAUGACGUGAUAUGUUAUAACAACAGAAGGUGCAAGGCUUGAUGGUGAAAACGUACUAGGAGCAAUCAAAUGAACAAUUAUUAAAGGUUACCCUUCCCUGCAUUCAGAAAAACCCAACGAAAUGCAAUAAAACAGAGCAAUGGAGCUCUGAUAAACUGGUACAAAUGGAGAAGAAGACCCGAAGUCUCAAUUGCGAAAGCUUAACCAGAGUGCAGUAACUUAAGGACAAAUCAACAACAAUAUGAGGGAAAAUAUCAAGAAAUAGAAAGGGAUAACAAAACCAGCAAAUUGGAGAGCUCUCCUGUAAAAGGCUACUCUCAGCUUUUGUGGUACUCCUUCAACGAUUGAUUUUCCUCCUCUCCAACGUAUUUUGUAGCCAUUGUCUCAAGUGCAAUUCCUGCCUGGCUCUUUAGUUUAUAUGUGUAGACCAUUGGGGGUUUAACAUGGUCCUUCGAUUUGUAUUUGUUGUGUUGAAACGUUUAGAUGUUUUCUCUUGAUAUUUUGCUCCUGCUAGUAGGAACGCCAGGGUAUUUUUUUCUUUUCUUCCAUGAAAGUACAUUGAGGAUAGUGUAAUCGUAUGUUUGAGUUUGACCCAAUAUUUUGGUUGUUAUGCUUGUUUGAAGGUAUAUCGUCUCAAUACUUCAAAUUAGGGGCACAAUGAAAUGAUCACUGUUUGUUGUA